rnacentral:rRNA from 1 species
GGACGAACGCUGGCGGCGUGCCUAAUACAUGCAAGUCGAACGGUCUUUCUAUGGAAGCUUGCUCCACUGAGAAGAUAGUGGCGAACGGGUGAGUAACACGUGGGUAACCUGCCCAUAAGAGGGGGGAUAACAUCCGGAAACGGGUGCUAAUACCGCAUAGUUUUCUUGAUCGCAUGAUCGGGAAAGGAAAGACGGCCUUUGUGCUGUCGCUUAUGGAUGGACCCGCGGCGUAUUAGUUAGUUGGUGAGGUAACGGCUCACCAAGACGAUGAUACGUAGCCGACCUGAGAGGGUGAUCGGCCACAUUGGGACUGAGACACGGCCCAAACUCCUACGGGAGGCAGCAGUAGGGAAUCUUCCGCAAUGGACGAAAGUCUGACGGAGCAACGCCGCGUGGGUGAAGAAAGGUUUUCGGAUCGUAAAACUCUGUUGUCAGAGAAGAACAAGUUGGAGAGUAACUGCUCCAGCCUUGACGGUAUCUGACCAGAAAGCCACGGCUAACUACGUGCCAGCAGCGGC